rnacentral:rRNA from 1 species
UGCCAGCAGCCGCGGUAAUACGGAGGAUCCAAGCGUUAUCCGGAAUCAUUGGGUUUAAAGGGUCCGUAGGUGGAUAGAUAAGUCAGAGGUGAAAUCCUGCAGCUCAACUGUAGAAUUGCCUUUGAUACUGUUUAUCUUGAGUCAUUAUGAAGUGGUUAGAAUGUGUAGUGUAGCGGUGAAAUGCAUAGAGAUGUUACAGAACACCAAUUGCGAAGGCAGUUCACUAAGCUAUUAUUGACGCUAAGGGACGAAAGCGUGGGUAGCGAACAGGAUUAGAUA